GCCGACGUAGCUCAGCGGUAGAGCAUCGGGCUCAUCUCCGCCAGGGCACCCGGAUCGACACCGGGCGUCGGCACCA
rnacentral:tRNA from 1 species